rnacentral:rRNA from 1 species
GACGAACGCUGGCGGCGUGCUUAACACAUGCAAGUCGAACGGAAAGGCCCUGCUUUUGUGGGGUGAUCGAGUGGCGAACGCGUGCGUAACACGUGAGUAACCUGCCCUUGACUUUGGGAUAACUUAACGAAACUGGGGCUACUACCGUAUCGCAGCUCCUGUUGCAUGGUGGGCGUUGGAUCGUUUCUGCGGGUGGGGUUGGACUGGCGGGUUAUGAGCUUGUUGGUUGGGUAGUGGCUUACCAAGGGUUUGACGGGUCGCCGGCCGGAGAGGGGGAACGGCGACAAUGGGACUGAGAGACGGACCAGACGCCUACGGGAGACAGCAGGGGGGAAUAUUGCCCAACCAGAGGAAGUCGGAUGCAGCAACGCUGCGGGCGGGAUGACGGCCUGUUGGGUGAAAAACGCUUCAGCCUGUGACGAAGCGGGAGUGACGGUAAUGGAUGAAGAAGCACCGGCUAACUACGUG